GGAGCUGCAGAGCCGGCCCGAGGCGCUCGCCGUGGAACUCGCGCGCCACCAGAACGGCGACCUCAAGAAGCAGCUCCACGAAAGGCAGCCGCGGAUCGCCGCGCUCAGCGACAAACAAGAUGAUUAGUCAGCAAGGGACUGAUUCCCUCGUUCCUCAUUCAUGAACAACAACUAACAUUUAUGUAGCAGCAUCUCGGGGUAUUGGGCAUUGCUACUUACAUUAGUCCGUUCGAUUCACGUUUCAUGGGCUUAAAAAGCGAGGUUAGAGGGCUGGUGGGCCUUUUCCAGGGCACCCACAAAUAAAAUCCAGCGUUUUCUUUGGAGGAGGCCAAGCUGAGAUUGGGGGCAGCUUCCUAGAGCCCUUCUCAUCACUCGCACAGCACCGCCACCGCCAACUUGUUCCUUGAGUCCGGGGUUUGAGGAACGUCCAUGUGAAGAGUUCCCUGAGGUCUCCUGACCAGGCUGCUUUAUCUGUGGCCCUUCAGACUACGGUCCUGUGAUCCGCCGGCCUGCCCUGGGCUGCGGAGA
rnacentral:sRNA from 1 species